AAGAGCUAAAGAAGACUACUAAUCUUCGUAUACUAAUUAAUUUUAGUAGUUCUUU
rnacentral:tRNA from 1 species